AGCAUUUUAGAAAAAAAAUAUUUUACUUGAAAAAAAUGUAUUGAUUAACUACAUAGAGUGACUAAAUAGGCAUGUUGGUCUUCUAUAUUGUAAAUCGAUACAUUUAUUGACUUCUUAUUACCAAAAAUCGCAGUUCUGUCGCUCUGAAUAAAGGAUUCUAAUUGCGCGCCAAGAACUUCCGGGAACUAUCCGAAGUCUACAUGAGUCACGUGACGAGAAGGCAUUUUGGACAUCCGUUAUCACGACUCUCAUUAAACGGCUCUUGACUUUUCCAUCUACUCCGGUUCUGAAGCUUGAGCGGUAUCACUGUAAACAAACAUGGCAGACCGUUGACACCUCUGAAGCUAACGGUAGCUUGUUUAACAUACACGACGUUUGUUUAAAACCGUGCAGCGCGGGGACAAGUUAUCUGCGCAUGUUACCUUCCUGAUUGAAUGCACCCGAAUCGGAAGUGUUCGCUUCCUCAGCUUUUAGCUUAGCCAGCAGGUUACCAAGGAAACGCCAAGCAACAGUACGGUGUUUUAUUUUCUAGAAGCAGAUCUCUCUUUGAGACUCGAUGUUUCUUGUUGUUUCGUGAGCCGAUUCAAAGCCCACACUGGUCUUAUUUUGAUCGUUUUUAGUAACGUUGGGUUAACGGAUGUGUCGUGAGUCGGGAGGAAACGCGUCGUUAAAUUAGUAGAUUUGUGAUCUGAGUUCCGUGUCGAUCUGCUUUUCGGCUCCAGCUCGUCAACUGGAGACCCGCCAAAACACACCCAACAAUUAACUUCUCAUGUCACAGACUGUUUCUACUGUAACCGUCCAUUUUCUUGAGCACAUCAACAGAUGUAAUAAAAAAAUCUCAGAGAAACCGAAUAAUUAAGGAACAAAAGGACCUGCUGUCUCCUGCAGAAAUAAAUGAAUGUUACAAGUGGGAGCUAAUCAGCGAAUAUUUGAUGGAAUACAGAGCAGGGCUCUGAGCCUCUUUAGACCUGGACCCAGUGUGAUGCAGUGACUGGGACAUGGAGCAGUACAGUAUUCUCGGUCGAAUUGGAGAAGGAGCCCACGGCAUCGUGUUCAAGGCCAAACACAUCGAGACUGGAGAAACAGUUGCUCUGAAGAAAGUGGCUCUGAGGAGGCUGGAGGACGGCAUCCCAAACCAGGCUCUGAGGGAGAUCAAGGCCCUGCAGGAGAUUGAAGACAAUCAGCACGUGGUGAAGCUGAAGGAUGUCUUCCCUCACGGUACGGGCUUCGUCCUGGUGUUCGACUUCAUGCUCUCCGACCUGUCUGAGGUCAUCAGAAACUCCCAGCGACCUCUGAGUCCGGCUCAGGUCAAAGGUUACAUGAUGAUGCUGCUAAAGGGCGUCGCCUUCCUGCAUCACAACAACAUUAUGCACCGGGACCUGAAGCCAGCGAACCUUCUCAUCAGCUCCUCAGGUCACCUGAAGAUCGCAGACUUUGGUCUAGCCCGACUGUUUAGUGAGCAGGGAGAGAGGCUAUACAGCCAUCAGGUGGCCACCAGGUGGUACAGAGCUCCUGAGCUGCUAUAUGGAGCCAGAAAGUACGACGAGGGAGUCGACCUAUGGGCGGUGGGCUGUAUUUUUGGGGAGCUACUGAACUCUUCUCCUCUGUUUCCUGGAGAGAAUGACAUCGAACAGCUGUGCUGCGUCCUCAGAGUGCUGGGAACACCAACACAGGACAGCUGGCCAGAAAUCGUGGAGUUACCUGAUUACAAUAAAAUCACCUUCAAGGAAAAUCCAGCGAUCCCAUUGGAGGAGAUCGUCCCUGACACGUCCCCUCAGGCCGUCGACCUGCUCUACAAAUUCCUGGUGUAUCCGUCCAAACAGCGCUGCUCAGCCAGACAGGCUCUCCUUCAUCCCUACUUCUUCUCCUCUCCUCUUCCUGCUCACCACUCGGAGCUUCCAAUUCCACAGAGGGGGGGCCGACCCCCCCGCCAGCACCUGCAGGCCCCGCCCACUGACUUUUCAGUGGAUCUGCCCCUGCAGAACAGUGUGGUAGACCCUGAGCUGCUGCAAGGAUACGCUUCCUGCCUCUGAACAAACAAAAAUAAUCUGAUUAAAGAAACCAGGCACAAACUCUGUCGCCUCCCACACUUCCUGCUCCUCCUCCUCACCUAAGACCAACAGUCAGACUCAAGAGUCACGAUGACUCUGAGCAGCUCUUCAUUCUCUGUUGGACCCGCCCCUUCACAUGCCCUGUACAACAAUCUGUACAACAAUCUGCAUCAGGUACUACAAAGGUAUUACAACCCGCACCAGGUACUACAGACCUGAGACUUCCUGCGUGUUUCAGGUCAACAGGCCGUGGACGCUGAAGAAAGAAGGAAUCCAAACCAGAAACCGCAAAGUGACCAAUAAGAAAAGAAGAGAGGGGCUGCCAAUCAGAGCCUGAGCAGCCCGGCCUAGUUAAGUCCUCGUCCUUCUGUGGCCUCUUCUCACUCCUUCACACAGCUUCUCCUUGAGCACCUUUUCUUGAUCCAUCUUUGUGGAUAUUUGACAGGUUUUCUCAUUUCAUAGUAGACCAAACAUUUUCUAAUUUUUAUUUAUUUUAGAGCAUUCAGUGUAUUUUUGUGAAACCUCUGAUGCACAAAUGUUGAACGCAACAUAUAUAAUAUGUGAACUGAGGAUAUAGAUUUUAGUGGUGGUAGUAGUGCACUAGAUAUGUCUCAAAAUAAUCUCAGAAUCUUUGACUGUCCCAAUUCAAUUUCCUGGCUGUUGUGUAAAAGUUUCCAAAUAUCAUACAAUAUGCUUUUGACCAUAACAAAAUCACAAAUAUUGUGCCUCUGCAUUUGAUAUGACUCUGACUGACUUCCAGCCGUUCUAUAGUAAACUAAUAUACAAACAUUUCCAUUACAUAAAUCUGAACUCUGGAUCAAACUAGGUUCAGACUUGUUUCAUGUUGUCAACAUUAGACUCAAAGAUCCUCUGAGGGGAUUCAAUUUCUGAAAAAAAAAAUCUAUAAAUCUGACUGAAUGAUUAAUAAACAGCCCCCCUCAGUAAAAACCUGCUGAAUAAAAGUCUGGUGAAUGGAAGUGAAA